GGGGAGGGGGAUUUGGAGCGGGAGGAGUGAGUGCAGCCCCGGGACAGGAAAGGAACCCUGUGCGGCCGUAACCCACCUCCGUGUGGGGUGUGUGGUUGGGAAAUGGAUGUGGGAUUGGGGUUCGGAUGUGGGGUAUGGAAUUAUGGCUGUGGGAUUGGGAUGGGGAUUAUGGUGUGGGAUUGGAAGGUGGGGUAUAGGAUUGGGGGUGUGGGGUUGGGGUUGGGAUAAGGUCUGGGAUAUGGGAUUAGGGAUAUGGGAUUGGUAUGUGGGAUUGGGAUGUGGGGUAUAGGAUUGGGGGUGUGGGAUUGGGGUUUGCCUUGGGAUGGGGGCUGUGGGGCCUGGAUGUGGGCUAUUGGGCUGGGAUGUUGGGUUGGGAUUGAGGCUAGGAUGUGGGAUAUAGGUUUAGGGGUGUGGGACUGGGGUUUGCAUUGGGAUGUGGGCUGUGGGGCUGGGGUUGGUGCUGGGUUUGAGGUUGGGGUUGGCAUAUAGGAUUAGAGGUGUGGGAUUGGGAUUUGCAUUGGGCUGUGGGGCCGGGAUGUGGGGUUGGGAUUGAGGUCAGGAUGUGGGAUGUAAGGAAAUGUGCCCUGUUCACAGGUGGGUCGUGUGGUGUUGUGGGGAAGCACUGCAGAUGAAAAGCUGCUGUGUGGAGCCCCACAGGACGAGUUGCAGAGGCCCCUGAAGGAAAAGGAGAUGGGCAUUUGCAGAGGGAAAGGCUGUCCCGCUGGCCUUAGCAGUGGGAAGAAAACAACUGGCAGCGGAGGGGUGAACCUCUUUGGGCUGCUGAGCUGUGUGCUGAACCAUAAGGAAGGUGGCUGUAAAGGUGUGCCGUGCAGAUGUCGUGUGCCCAGCAGUCGGGCCGAUGAAGAGCAACAAAUGAAGCGCCAGUGGCUCAGAUGGCUUCUCGCCUCCUGGGUGCCCUUGCCUCUUUCCUUGCCAUGGCCUUGAGGCUUUUCCUCAGCUGGCUGGCUGAUCCGUCCCCGGCGGCUGCCCUUUCCUCCUGCCAGGCACACAUGGUAAGCUGUUGGCCUGCACCACAGUCACUUGUCAGCUUUGCUUUGCCAUGACAUCGGAUCCAGUUUCUGUU
ensembl:lncRNA